CACGUAGGCGGAUAUUUAAGUCAGGGGUGAAAUCCCGGGGCUCAACCCCGGAACUGCCUUUGAUACUGGGUAUCUCGAGUCCGAGAGAGGUGAGUGGAAUUCCGAGUGUAGAGGUGAAAUUCGUAGAUAUUCGGAGAAACACCAGUGGCGAAGGCGGCUCACUGGCUCGGUACUGACGCUGAGGUGCGAAAGCGUGGGGAGCAAACA
rnacentral:rRNA from 1 species